rnacentral:tRNA from 2 species
GCCUCCUUAGCUCAGUUGGUUAGAGCAGCUGACUCUUAAUCAGCGGGUCCAAGGUUCGAGUCCUUGAGGGGGUA